CAUAAAGCAGUAAGUAUCACCAAAAGCAGAUACCAAAGUAAUUGAAAAUUCCAAAGUGAGGACACAUGCAGAAGGGAAGGCCACCGACUGUAUUCAAUUUAUAGUUCUUUUUAUUUAACCUUAUGCCAUGGGGAAAACCCAUUAACAGAAAGGAGAAACUACUACAGGCUUUGUUGUCUUGUAUACACACAUGCACACAUAAAGAGAGAGAGGUGAUGAAAG
rnacentral:misc_RNA from 1 species